rnacentral:rRNA from 1 species
GAUGAACGCUGGCGGCGUGCCUAAUACAUGCAAGUCGAGCGAACAGACGAGGAGCUUGCUCCUCUGACGUUAGCGGCGGACGGGUGAGUAACACGUGGAUAACCCACCUAUAAGACUGGGAUAACUUCGGGAAACCGGAGCUAAUACCGGAUAAUAUAUUGAACCGCAUGGUUCAAUAGUGAAAGACGGUUUUGCUGUCACUUAUAGAUGGAUCCGCGCCGCAUUAGCUAGUUGGUAAGGUAACGGCUUACCAAGGCAACGAUGCGUAGCCGACCUGAGAGGGUGAUCGGCCACACGGGAACUGAGACACGGUCCAGACUCCUACGGGAGGCAGCAGUAGGGAAUCUUCCGCAAUGGGCGAAAGCCUGACGGAGCAACGCCGCGUGAGUGAUGAAGGUCUUCGGAUCGUAAAACUCUGUUAUUAGGGAAGAACAAAUGUGUAAGUAACUAUGCACGUCUUGACGGUACCUAAUCAGAAAGCCACGGCUAACUACGUG